CAUACACCACAGCCAUAGCCCAGCUCCUGAGCAUGUCUUCAGGAAAUCUUCUCCUGAUAACAUGCUAUUAAGGCCAACAGUUCGUUGUAUUAGAGGUCUGUAACCCUGUUUACAGCACAUACGUGGUGAAUAGGCCGGAGAGAUAGAUACAGAUAGAGGGCCACUGAGGAGAAUGGUUGCUAGAGUUCACUGUGUGUGUGUGUGUGUGUGUGUGUGUGUGUGUGUGUGUGUGUCUGAUUACUGCCCAGUGUGGCUGACACUUUCUGUGCCCACAGCCACCAGCAGAUGCCACCAGAUUGCUCCUGAAAUAAUCAGUUAUACAUGCCAAACUUAAUGAGCAGAAGACAAAUCAGAGGACGAGCUCUUCCAUGCACAGGGAGGGAUUCACAGAGAUUGAGCAGGAAAAUCAGUUUAAUUACAAGAGAAACCAGAAGAAUGAGGCGACAAUCAGGAAAACAUCGGGGACCAGGACAGCUGACCGAGCCCGCGGCAUCCCCCCAAAUCCUUCCCAGAAAUGCUAUGCAAACUCAUGCCGACGUUUGUGCUCAUGGGCUGUGAAUUUCUUCUGCCAACCUGAGCUGAAAGAAGCUAGAAAACUCUGCGUAUUUUACUUUCAGAGUUAAUGGGAAUAAAAUACCUCAGUG
rnacentral:lncRNA from 1 species